UGUAAUUGUAUUGCAAUUGUCACUAAUUAUUAUGUUUUUAUAGUGCAGUCAUGCCAAUUUCCAUCAGUACUGGUAUCAAAACCUGUAAAAUGGACUAUACUUUACAGCCAUAUAUUACUAAAUACAUAUCAAAACAUGUAUCAUUAAUUCAUUUGCGCUAACCUUAUAAGCCUCUCGCAAAAAAAGUUUUAGGGGGGGGGGGUACUUGAAAACUUGAAAAUUGGGCUAUUAAUUUUUUUAAUACUGAACCCCAGGCACAAGCAAAAUGCCAAUUGGAACUCUGUACAGUAACUUGUUUAAACCAUCAUUAAACCACCAACUUGUUUAAACCACCAACAUUCAUGGGUGGAUUUACUGGGGGGGUUAGGGGGGUUAACCCCCCCCCCCUACACCCCCUAGAAUCUCUCUAACCCCUCUAAUAAAGUGUUCAACCCCACCAAAAUUUCACUUCACCCCUCCUAUUUUGUGUGAAAGGCUUUAACCCAAAUGCCUAACCCCUGCCGAAGCUCACUGAGUAGUGCCACUUGCACCCCACCAGAAAUAUUUCUACCCCUCCUUUUAAAUAAAUGAAAAUCCGCCCUUGCCAACACUCUCCCCUUGACAAGUAAAAUCAUAAAAUGGCCUAUAGUUGCAUUUUCCGUAGCUGCUCAUGUUAUGUUUGAAUAAAUGCAUGAAAUUUCCAUCUACAAGAACCCUUCAAUAUCCGGUCUAUAUGAUCCACUUCAGCAAACAUGAGAGAAAAGUUGUUUAUAAGCUUGUAGCAAGCAGUAAAAUUCACUGUUUCCACAACCAUUGAUUACCAGCUGGAGUCUGUGUACAUUUGUUAAGAAAUUAUCAGUUACAUGAUGUGCAAAAAUCCUAUAACCAAUCUGGUGUUGCUGACAUUCCACUGUGGAAU